rnacentral:rRNA from 1 species
CCCUUAGAUGUUCGGGGCCGCACGCGCGCUACACUGAAGGACUCAGCGUGUCUCUCCCCCUAUCCCGAAAGGGAUGGGCAACCCGUUGAACCUCCUUCGUGCUAGGGAUUGGGGUUUGCAAUUAUCCCCCAUGAACGAGGAAUUCCCAGUAAGCGCGAGUCAUCAGCUCGCGUUGAUUACGUCCCUGCCCUUUGUACACACCGCCCGUCGCUACUACCGAUUGGAUGGUUUAGCGAGAACUUUGGACCGGAGCUCGGGUGGUCAGCAAUGGCCGCCCGAGACAUACUGGGAAAUCGCUCCAGCUUGAUCAUCUAGAGGAAGUAAAAGUCGUAACA